UGGAACCUCAGGGGCAAGUUGGAGUUAGAUGGAACCGGGCCGAGCCACAAGCCCCGGGAGCCGUCGAACGCCAGGGAAAUGGGUCCCGGAAGCAGCCCCCCGCUAGCUGACUGGCUUUUGUCACAGGCACCCGCCGUGCGCCUGCUGCUAGAGCUGAGCUCCCGUUGGUGGCCUGUUGCGAGACACGGGGUUUGUUCAUGGAUCGAGUGGCCAGGCCUCAGGGAUCUGUCUUGAGGGCUCAGAGACCAGAAUGAAAAACCUUUGGUAAAAAGGGAGCUGGCCUCCUGGGACCUUUGCUUCGCCAUUAUAAAGUUUUACACUUGCAGGCUCCAUCCCCUGCGCGGGCAUCCGCCCCUGCUUCUGCUGCUUCAGCACCGAGUACAACCCGCGCUUAGGUGCAGGCAGCGGUCAGUGACCGCGCGGCCCCGGCGCUCACUACCGUUCCUAACUCCGGAGGCGCGCCGGGACGCAGGCAUCUUCCCAGCAUCCUAGCCUUAUCCCCGGGGACCAGCCCUGAGCACUCAGCGACCGAGGGUGGAGAGUGGCAAGUGCCAGAAGUCCGGUUCCUUAAACUUUACUAAUGCCUGGGUCAGAGGGACGAAACCGCCAAGGCUAUGCUGGCAGUGUGCGCGGCCGGAGCCAGGUUCAACUUAACGGGCGCUGGCUCGGCGACCACCUCGCCCAGGCUCCCUGACAGCAGGAGCGGAGCAAAGUUGGAGCGGGUGCCAGGGAAGUCCUGCCGCGCCCCCACGUGGUUGCCGUUCUAGGUGCUGUCCCUCCGGCCCAGAAAGGGCAGGUGACCACACGUGAGCCCGCGGACCCGUUACCCUCUGCUCUCCACCUCUGGGUGUCUCUUUGCUCUGAGGUCCCAGAGUGCUAGCUGUGGCGCCCCACUGGGAUUCCCUUGUCCCUUGCCUCGGCCGGGCGGCUGCUGAGCCUUGGUGCCUGAUGCUAGCCGCUCCCGCCCUGAGGGAACCAGCUGAGGCGGGAGCUCAGGUAGCGGAGGGGCCUGAUCCCUGCGCUCCAGCCUUAAUCCGCCCCUGUUUCCAUGGCAACAGACCGAGGUGUCGUAAGCACAGGAUUCUGACCUCACAGCAGGAUGGGGAAGGAGAAAGCGGGCAGGGGGUGGUGGCAGAGGAGGGGGUGGGGUGGGGAGCGAAGCCCUGAGAUGGGCGGAGAGAAGCAGAUUCCGGGAGAUGGGAGAGACCCAGAUAAGCAGGUCAGACAGGGCCUGCCUUGCCCUCCAUCUGCCCUGCUACAGGAUCGACAACAAAGAGUCUGCCAGCCUCCAGGAUCAGGCAUCAGUGGGCUUCUGGUCUCUUACGGGGGCACUUGCGUCUUUGAGCUUUCGGGCUGCCAUCUUAGCAGGGAGAUGCAUUUCUGGAGGACACAGGUGUGUCCUGGGAGCUGGCAGUACCCCCCCCCCCCCCCAUGAAGCUCUCAGCAGCUCAGGUGGAGAGCUAUCCCGUUCCAGGCAAGGAAACUGGGAGCCACUGGUUGUCUCUUGUCACGCCUUUGAAAAGAAGAGCUACCGUGUGGGAGGGCUGCUCACUGUCCCAGAGAGCACUGGUGACACAAACAGCUGGGAGAGCAAAAUGAGGGCACAGACCCUGUCCUGCACCACCACCCCACCCCACUCCCACCCCCGUUUGCUGAGUUGAAGCCUGUGCUUUCUCUAUACCAGGAAUAUGCAUGCUCUGAGGUCACGGGUCCUGUGUGCCUCACUGCGGGUGACCUAUGCCCCACUGGGAACUGGCCGGGUGUUUUCACUAAUAAGCUAACUGUAUUACCAUCUCAACAGAAUUAACCAAAAAAAGAAAAAGGAAAGAAAAAAAAAACGGUCCUUGAACAAAUGCUGCUGGUGUCUACCAGGACCAAAGAUCUGGUACUAUCUGUUUUUUUAAUAAUUGAGGGUAAUAAAUAUGUAUUUCUUUCUCCUCCCUACCCCCAUCCUCUGAAGCUUGUCAGCUCCCUGCGUCUCUCCUCUGAUCAGACCAAGUCUUCCCCAAGCCAAAAAAAAAAAAAAAAA
rnacentral:sRNA from 1 species